rnacentral:rRNA from 1 species
GUGUCAGCAGCCGCGGUAAAACGUAGGAUCCUAGCGUUAUCCGAAUUUACUGGGCGUAAAGCGCGUGCAGGUGGUUUGGUAAGUUGGAUGUGAAAGCUCCUGGCUCAACUGGGAGAGGCCGUUCAAAACUACCAGACUUGAGGGCGGUAGAGGAAGGUGGAAUUCCCGGUGUAGUGGUGAAAUGCGUAGAUAUCGGGAGGAACACCAGUGGCGAAGGCGGCCUUCUGGGCCGUCCCUGACACUCAGACGCGAAAGCUAGGGGAGCAAACGGGAUUAGAUACCCCGGUAGUCCUAGCUGUAAACGAUGCGAACUUGGCGUUGGUGGGUUAAAAACCAUCAGUGCCGAAGCUAACGCGUUAAGUUCGCCGCCUGGGGAUUACGGUCGCAAGGCUAAAACUUAAAUGAAUUGACGGGG